rnacentral:lncRNA from 1 species
CCAUUCUUCUCCCAAGAUAGCUUCACAGGUGAGAGCUGAGGAUUCCAAAGAGCGAAGUGGAUUCUGGCUGAGGCUGAGCCGGUAAUCAGCAUUGUUGGCUUUUUCUGAGUAGGUGCAGAGAGUGAAUGUACAUUCAGAAAUGCUUCGUGGUCCCUGUAUUCCAAGAAAAAAGAGGUUCUACAGGCUCAUGCUCCAACCUCCUUUUCCAGCAGAUCAAGCUGUGCCCAAGAGACCUUGGUUGCAUCUGGACUUGAUUUGGAUGAUGAGAUUCUGUAUCUGAUACCAUAAUGGGAUAAGAACUUGGGAGCUUUGAAGAGG